CGAAGGGAGCUAGCGUUGUUCGGAAUCACUGGGCGUAAAGCGCGCGUAGGCGGCUUUGCAAGUCAGGGGUGAAAUCCCACAGCUUAACUGUGGAACUGCCUUUGAAACUGCAAGGCUAGAAUGUGAGAGGGGAUGGCGGAAUUCCUAAUGUAGAGGUGAAAUUCGUAGAUAUUAGGAGGAACACCCGUGGCGAAAGCGGCCAUCUAGAUCACAAUUGACGCUGAAGUGCGAAAGCGUGGGUAGCAAACAGGAUUAGAUACCCUGGUAGUCCACGCCAUAAACGAUGAGUGCUAGCCGUCGGGCCCGUAGGGUUCGGUGGCGCAGCUAACGCAUUAAGCACUCCGCCUGGGGAGUACGGUCGCAAGAUUA
rnacentral:rRNA from 1 species